UAGUUUUUGUUUACUUCCUCAGUGUGUGUUUGUGUGUGUUUCGAACAGAGUCAACAAAAUUUUCGUUCCGCUCAAAAUUAAAUGUAUUUUUUGUGUAACAACAAAUCCCGUUCACAAGCCGUGUGUUCUUCUCAGGACGACCUCUGACGCUUGGCCCUUUCGCCUUGAAGUCCCCAAAGGGCAGAACUUUGCCUUUCAGCGAUCCAGCACGGAUGGAUUUAUUAAGGAUUAUAGUGAUGCCAGCACUGCGCAGUCAGGAACAUUCAGGUGGAUGUUUCCACGAGCAGCUUCUAAUCGGAAUCCACCUCCAGCUCUGGGUACUGAUUGUUCAAAUCUCGUUUUUCAAUAAAGUUACGCGCCACAGUGAGGGCUAUCCGGGCGGAAUUCUUCAUCGGAUCUCCGAGGAUUCCGCUCAAACCAGCACUGAGACCAGCAGCAGGCCUAGGAAGAUGGUGCCCUAACUCUUGACGAAACGGAAGGCAAUCUUGCGCAUAACCUUCUCGAACAGAGGUACUGCCUCAAAGCGCGAUCUUGAGCACUGAAGCGAUCAACAAAUACUCCACUAGUCUUGGAAGAGGUCCUGGGCCAAGGGAUUUCCCGACUGGUGGGGCAUUCAACCAAGAGAUGUUUCUGCUUGCACUCCUGGACUAAAGAACUAAUUUUGUAAUCGAAUGAAAAACCGGUUUGGGAUUGAAAAUCUUUGCUGUUGAUGUAUCCGAU